AUGGGGAGCCCUCUCAGCCCAGUAGUAGCAAAUUUCUAUAUGGAAUACUUUGAAAAACAGGCCCUUGAAACAGCACCAAAAAAGCCAACUGUUUGGUUCAGAUACGUAGAUGACACCUUCACAAUUUGGAGCCAUGGAGAGGAAGAACUCAGCAAGUUCCUGGACCAUCUUAACAGCAUCCACCCAAACAUCCAAUUCACCAUGGAAAAAGAAAAGGAAGGAAAACUGCCAUUUCUAGAUGUUCUGGUCAUCCGCAAACCCAAUCAACAAUUGGGCCACACAGUUUACAGAAAACCUACACACACAGAUAGAUACCUUCAUAAAAACUCCAACCAUCACCCAAGUCAAAAAAGGAGCACAAUCAAAGCCCUGACAGACCGUGCACAAAGAAUCUGCGAACCUCACCUCCUCCAAGGUGAACUCAACCACCUAAACUGGGCUCUACAGGCCAAUGGAUAUUCCACCACAGACAUCAGAAGAGCUGCAAGGCCAAGAACAAGCCAUGAGAGUCAAGACAAAGAUCCACCCAGAGGAAAGGUGUUCUUACCAUACAUCAAGGGAACUACUGACCGCAUAGGGAAGCUGAUGAAGAAGCACAACCUACAAACUAUCUACAGACCCACGAAGAAAAUCCAACAAAUGCUACGGUCAGCGAAGGACAAGAGGGAUCCUCUCUCUUCUGCAGGAGUCUACCGGAUACCAUGCAGCUGUGGACAAGUCUACAUAGGGACCACCAAACGCAGCGCCCAAACAAGAGUCAAAGAACAUGAAAGGCACUGCAGACUAAUUCAACCAGAGAAAUCAGCCAUAGCAGAGCAUUUGAUGAACCAGCCUGGACACAGAAUACUAUUUGAGAACACAAGAAUGCUGGACCAUUCUAACAACUAUCAUGUCAGACUACACAGAGAAGCCAUUGAAAUCCACAAGCAUGUGGACAACUUCAACAGAAAGGAAGAAACCAUGAAAAUGAACAAAAUCUGGCUACCAGUAUUACAAAACUCAAAAAUCAGAACAGUAAAUAAAAAGCAAUACUCUGAAAACAGAGGGUUUCCAGACAUGAAUCAACCAAGGGCAGUUAACGACUCUAAACAAAGGAUGCCCCAGAGGCAGGAAGAAGACAGCAGAUAA
rnacentral:lncRNA from 1 species